rnacentral:lncRNA from 1 species
CACGCUUCUUCUGGAAAAUCAAAUAUUUUUUUUGUUGUUGCCUUGCAUCUACAUGUUUAUUAUCUUGAAGAAGCUUGGGCCAAUUCUUAUUUUGCAAUAGUACGUUCUUCAUAAUGUAUACAUUAUUUAUGUAAUUCAGAUUUUCCAUUUAGUUAGUGCGUCAACAUGAAAACCGAUUGAUUGUUUGUUGUUGAUUUUCAUACUAGAAUGCUAGGGAAGAAUUCAGGUGUUUGUCAUAGUUGUAGAGGUAAGGGACACUUAUUUGCCGAAUGCCCGACCAAAGUGCGAUGUCCAUUGUGUAAGCAUGGAUAUCAGAAAAUGGGCAAAUCACCGACGCAGAGAUUGAGCUUACCUCACUCACCAAUAAGUCAUGGCUUCGAGGCUUUUUGACAGUUCAAAUUGCUACCGGGAGUUUACAUCAUGUGGGAGAGAGUUGGAGGUGGAAAAUAUGUUCCGGCAAAGGUUCCAAUUUCUAGAUUUCUCUCUUCGACGGAAUCAGUGCAAUGAUGGCUGUGAUAAUUCAAGAAACCAUCGAUUGAUGGCUGGUCAGACGGCAGUGCAGCAGGCAAUAGUCGUCGGAAGAGUGAGCUUGCGUUUUGCUAUUUUGGGCGAAAGGGAAUAGUGAGCUUGCUUUUUUGUUAUUUUUUGGGGGGAAUUAAAUGCAUUUACUCGGAGUCAGACUCGUUUCCCUCCACAAUCGUUUUUCUUAUUUUUUUUAUUAGCAACACGUCACAUUUUUAAAUUACCUUGUAAAACCCCUGGCAUAUCAUUUUGUACGCCAAGCUUAAUUCUUAUAUGAUAGUCUUGUGUGUCAAUUGUCUGUGGAUGAACAUCGACCUUUUCACUUG